GACGAACGCUGGCGGCGUGCUUAACACAUGCAAGUCGAACGGACAGGCCCUGCUUUUGUUGGGUGCUCGUGUGGCGAACGGGUGUGUAACACGUGAGUAUCCUGUCCUUGACUUUGGGAUACUUCAGCAAACUGGCGCUACUACCGGCUAGGAGCUCCUGCUGCCUGGUGGUUGUUGGAUAGUUUCGGCGGUUGGGGAUGGACUCGCGGCUUAUCAGCUUGUUGGUGGGGUAGGGGCUUACCAAGGCUUUGACGGGUAGCCGGCCUGAGCGGUGGACCGGCCACAUGGGGACUGAGAGACGGACCAGACGCCUACGGGAGGCAGCAGUGGGGAAUAUGGCACAAUGGGCGGAAGCGUGAUGCAGCAACGCCGCGAGCGGGAAGACGGCCUUCGGGUGGUAAACCGCUUUCGCCGGUGACGAAGCGGGAGUGACGGUAAUGGGUAAAGAAGCACCGGCUAACUACGUG
rnacentral:rRNA from 1 species